rnacentral:SRP_RNA from 2 species
GCUGGGCAUGGUAGCUCAUGCCUGUAAUCCCAGCACUUUGGGAGGCUGAGGUGGGAGGAUUUCCUGAGCCCAGGAGUUCAAGGCCAGCCUGGGCAACAUGGCAAUACCCAAUCUCUU